AGUGAGAUUGCUGGAUCAUAUGGUAACACUAUGAUUAAUUUUGUAAGGAACUGCCAGACUGUCUUCCAAGGUGGCUGUACCAUUUUGCAUUCCCACCAGCAAU
rnacentral:pre_miRNA from 1 species